UACAGAGGGGGCAAGCGUUGUUCGGAAUUACUGGGCGUAAAGGGCGCGUAGGCGGCCUGCUAAGUCGAACGUGAAAUCCCUGGGCUCAACCCAGGAACUGCGUCCGAUACUGGUUGGCUUGAAUCCGGGAGAGGGACGUGGAAUUCCAGGUGUAGCGGUGAAAUGCGUAGAUAUCUGGAGGAACACCGGUGGCGAAGGCGUCCAUCUGGCCCAAUACUGACGCUGAGGCGCGAAAGCUAGGGGAGCGAACGGG
rnacentral:rRNA from 1 species